rnacentral:tRNA from 12 species
GCCGCCAGAGGUCGAAAGGGGACGACGCACCGAAAGCUAAUGCUUUCGGUCACGAGAAAUGUGGGUUUCCUCGCCCCACCUGGCGGU